GACGAACCGUGCGAACGUUGUUCGGAAUCACUGGGCUUAAAGGGCGCGUAGGCGGGUGUGCAAGUCUGCGGUGAAAGCCUCCAGCUUAACUGGAGAAGUGCCGUGGAUACUGCAUAUCUUGAGGAGGGUAGGGGCAUCUGGAACAUUGGGUGGAGCGGUGAAAUGCGUUGAUAUCCAGUGGAACUCCGGUGGCGAAGGCGAGGUGCUGGACCCUUUCUGACGCUGAGGCGCGAAAGCCAGGGGAGCAAACGGGG
rnacentral:rRNA from 1 species